rnacentral:lncRNA from 1 species
AGACCACUACGGUGACUUAUAAGCAACUCACUGUACUUUAAUACCAGACUAUCUGAGUUUCUAAAUUAGUGAUGGAAGGAUACUAGGUGCAGUCAAGUACUUAUCAGUCGGUAUGUGUGUCAAGAUAGAAUUGAUCCCUCUGAAUUGGUAGGAGAUAUGCAUCAGUACAUUUCAAUUCAACAAAACCUUGGCUAGGAUAAUCCAUGAGAUGGAUUUGAAAGGUUGAAAUAUAAUGUGGUCGACUUAAUUAGGGUUGACAGUUAAAUCCUAAGUCACCUUGAGCAUUUGGAUCAAAGGGAUGAGUUAUACAGUAACCAUACACCAGU